rnacentral:rRNA from 1 species
GAGAGUUAAACAGUACGUGAAAUUGUUGAAAGGGAAACGAUUGAAGCCAGUCGUACCUAUGGGUAAUCAGCCUUUUGGGUGUGAUUUUGUGGAGCGUGAGGAGUUAAACGCCUUCAUGCCUGCAUAUUCGUGCACUUUGGGUGUACUUGCCCGUGUGUAAGUUAACAUCAAUUUUGGUGGUCAUAAAAUGGCUGGAGGAAUGUAGCUUCGGUCUUGUAUUGAAGUGUUAUAGCCUUCGGUAGAUGUGACGAUCGGGAUUGAGGAUUGCAACGGAUACCCUUCGGGGCUACCUGUCUGAUCUCUGAUUGUUGCUCUGGUGCCGAAAGCUUGCUUACGGUUAUCAAAGUCGAUGGUCAAUAGGUUAGAAUGGGUUAAAUUCGUUAAGGAUGUUGACGUAAUGGCUUUAAACGA